CUUGCCUGUUUUCAGUUUGUUCUCUCUGGCUCAUACACAAAGCACGAGAUGUAAGCUCACAGCUUCCUGCUCCUUCCACCGUGCCUGCCACUUGCUGCCAUGCUCCCAGACAUGAUGGACUUUCACUCUUCUGAAAUUACCCCAGAAUAAACCUACAUAAGGCUGGGGCAUAAGGCUAGAAGAAUAUUGGAAGCAACAGAAGGAGGAAAACAGAAGCCACGAGGCCAGCAGCCUGACCACUCCUCUGCCUCUCUGCAUCUCACCUAAGUGAGGAGGUCAAGUCUCUCUCAGACCGGUUCCUGCCCAUCACUGCUAAGUGGACCAGCUGGUGCUGCUGUGGAGCAGGAAUCUCUUCUAGCAAUUCAUCGGUUUGGGGACCUCUCCAAUCACUUUUCACAAAGAUGGCCUUACUUGCGAAUCCUGCUGCUUCCAGCAUCUUCUAAUUAUGGGACAAAGUUGUACCAGCAGGUCUGAAGCAGGAGAUCCAGGCUGAUCGAGUCAUUCAGGAUCCACUGGGGGACGUGUCCCGCCUUUGAAGAGCUAGCUCCAG